rnacentral:rRNA from 1 species
AACGAACGCUGGCGGCAUGCCUAACACAUGCAAGUCGAACGAGACCUUCGGGUCUAGUGGCGCACGGGUGCGUAACGCGUGGGAAUCUGCCCAGAGGUUCGGAGUAACACAGAGAAAUUUGUGCUAAUACCGGAUGAUGUCGCAAGACCAAAGAUUUAUCGCCUUUGGAGGAGCCCGCGUAGGAUUAGCUAGUUGGUGGGGUAAAGGCCUACCAAGGCGACGAUCCUUAGCUGGUCUGAGAGGAUGAUCAGCCACACUGGGACUGAGACACGGCCCAGACUCCUACGGGAGGCAGCAGUGGGGAAUAUUGGACAAUGGGCGAAAGCCUGAUCCAGCAAUGCCGCGUGAGUGAAGAAGGCCUUCGGGUUGUAAAGCUCUUUUACCCGGGAAGAUAAUGACUGUACCGGGAGAAUAAGCCCCGGCUAACUCCGUGCCAGCCGCCGCCGUAACAC